GUGCUUAACACAUGCAAGUCGAACGGAAAGGUCUCUUCGGAGAUACUCGAGUGGCGAACGGGUGAGUAACACGUGGGCAAUCUGCCCUGCACUUCGGGAUAAGCCUGGGAAACUGGGUCUAAUACCGGAUAGGACCACUUGGCGCAUGCCUUGUGGUGGAAAGCUUUUGCGGUGUGGGAUGGGCCCGCGGCCUAUCAGCUAGUUGGUGGGGUGAUGGCCUACCAAGGCGACGACGGGUAGCCGGCCUGAGAGGGUGUCCGGCCACACUGGGACUGAGAUACGGCCCAGACUCCUACGGGAGGCAGCAGUGGGGAAUAUUGCACAAUGGGCGCAAGCCUGAUGCAGCGACGCCGCGUGGGGGAUGACGGCCUUCGGGUUGUAAACCUCUUUCAGCAGGGACGAAGCGCAAGUGACGGUACCUGCAGAAGAAGCACCGGCCAACUACGUGCCAGCAGCCGCGGUAAUACGUAGGGUGCGAGCGUUGUCCGGAAUUACUGGGCGUAAAGAGCUCGUAG
rnacentral:rRNA from 1 species